AACGAACGCUGGCGGCAUGCCUAACACAUGCAAGUCGAACGAGCCCACCGGGUCUUGUGGCGCACGGGUGCGUCACGCGUGGGAACCUGCACAUAGGUUCGGCAUAACUACCCGACAGGGGUGCUAAUACCGGAUCAUGUCUUCGGACCAAAGAUUUAUCGCCUUUGGUUGGGCACGAGUUGGAUUAGCUAGUUGGUAGGGUAAUAGCCUACCAAGGCGACGAUCCAUAGCUGGUCAGAGAGGAUGAUCAGCCACACUGAGACUGAGACACGGCCCAGAAUCCUACGGGAGGCAGCAGAGGGUAAUAGAGGACAAUGGGGUAAAGCCUGAUCCAGCAAGACCGCUAGAGUUAUGAAAGCCUGAGGGUAGUAAAGCGCUUUUACCCGUGAUGAUAAUGACAGUACCGGGAGAAUAAGCUCCGGCUAGCUCCGUG
rnacentral:rRNA from 1 species